rnacentral:rRNA from 1 species
UACGUAGGUGGCAAGCGUUGUCCGGAUUUACUGGGCGUAAAGAGCGCGCAGGCGGUCGAAUAAGUCGAAUGUGAAAGCCCCCGGCUCAACUGGGGAGGGUCAUUCGAUACUGCUCGACUUGAAGGCAGGAGAGGGUAGUGGAAUUCCCGGUGUAGUGGUGAAAUGCGUAGAUAUCGGGAGGAACACCAGUGGCGAAGGCGACUUCCUGGCCUGUUCUUGACGCUGAGGCGCGAAAGCUAGGGGAGCAAACGGG